UGGACAUGAAAGAGGUGUGAAUGAAUGCUGACCUUUCAGAUGCAUCCACCCAAAGUGACCAAACAAAUCUAGGUCUGUCAUUUAUACAGACAUUGCAUUAGGGUAACUUGGGCUUGG